ACCACAAGUCACUUACUUAGAAAUUUCCCUCUGCCCUAACAAAAAGAAAACUUAUUUCUCUGUUUAAUGAGAGAUCAUGUGAGCCUAUUUGAAACCAUGUUUACAAAUGCCCUGAUCCAUGUCUCAUGGGCUGUAGAGCUCCCCUCAGCUGUCCAGAAAUUUUUCCUAGAGUACUGGAACUGGGAAAUCCAGGUAGAAAUGUCCAUCAGAGACAAAAACUAAAUGCAUCUGAGUUAAAAUAGCUUUGCAAUUGAGACUUUCCCUGUGCUGGCCCAUAAAGUCAUGGGGAAUGAGCAGCCAGAGUCACAGGCAAGCAGGAAAUUUCAGUGAGAUUACUCCAGUUAAGGUGUAUCCACACAGAAUGGGGAUGGGUCUUAAUACUUUUACUGGAAGCCUUUAUA